rnacentral:tmRNA from 1 species
GGGGGUGUACCGGUUUCGACGGGAUUCGGUUGGGGCCUGGUAAGCACGUCGAGGGCGCCGUUGGCCUCGUAAAAAAACGGCAAAAAAAUAACUGCAAACUCUGAUGAUUUUGCAUAUGCGAUGGCUGCAUAAUUAGCCAUCCGGUCUCAGGCGGGCUCUCCCGCGGCGUGCCUGGGGCUUCAUAUUUAGCGGGAUAGCGGUCCAGGGUGCCUGUACCUGGUAAGCGAAACUCUUUACAGGCUGGUCCGGCAGUUGCCUGUGGCGGAGUUGCUGCCGGAUAAGACUUAAUCUGCCACUAAACGUGUAGAAAGCCAGAGUCUCAGUUUCUCGGACGGGGGUUCGACUCCCCCCACCUCCACAC